AGAUGAUGGGAUUGGUCUGGUUUGAAGUUAUUAUUUAUAACACAUAAUUCAAGAGAGGAUAUACCAAGUUUCCCGGAGCAACCCAAGCAGAACAGAGAACCAAGACUACUGGAUCAUUUAUCUUUAGUUUCUAAAAAUACUUCUAGCCAGGCGCUUACCUUGUCUGAGGUCUUUCUCACAAACAUUGGGGAGCGGUUAAUUCUGGUCAUUACAUCAAGCACAAAGCCAUCAUUGUUGCAUCGUGUGUGCCCUUGCCGCUCUCGCAGGAGUCAGCAAGACGAUGCAUUAGACGUUGAUAAAGUUUGCUGAGUCUCAUCUGGCCUACUCGUUCUCGUCAGCAAUUGCGGCCCAUGCCGGAAGUGGUGCUGCACAACCUCUGCCCAGGCUCAGCUCUAUGAGCUUACUCUUGAGAUGUGUGGCAUGAUCGACAACGCUGAGAUGGCAGGCAAGCAUUAUGAGCUGGAGCUGACCAAAUCAAAAAGUCUCAAGAGGCAGUGCAGUGUCAACGUUGCCAUCAAAGGCUUCACAAACCCCUGGAGAAUCCCUGUCAAAUGCUGACUGCACUUUCCAGUAUCUGGGGCUCCAAUCGAUCCAGAACUUGAAGUUGACGUGCUGCAGGCUGAGGCUGCCAAAGAGCAGUUCAUCCAAGACUGCUUCGUUUCCAAGAGGAAGGGGUUCAUAGGCCGCCC